UGACUUGUUCUUCCAUGUUUCAUACUUUCUCUGAGUGUUACUUAGGCAGAGCUGUAUGAAGACUGGGGACAGAUCUCCUGGAGGAAGGGGUACAACACAGUACCCCAAGCUCCUCUUGGGCAUUUCCUGCCCCAGACCUAGAAUUGGCAGUUUCUCCAAGGAACCUGCAUUACUCUGGGAGAAAAUGGUAUUUAGAGAACCUGAGCUAGUUACUGGUGGUCGUUACUGCUGCUGGGUCAUCAUUACCUGCAGACCUGACAGCACUUGGAGCCCACGGUUUUAUUUGUUUUCAAUUAAACUUUUCAUUGAAGCAAAGCACCUCUAACAGGAAAGUGAAUAAAUCAUAAACAUUAAACUUGAUGACUUUU